rnacentral:misc_RNA from 1 species
GAGAAAUACUAGCUACCACUUCUCUCUAUGCUUCCUGCAAUGUUUUGUCAAAUAGCAAUUUGCAUGUUGUUUUGUGGUUUCACAUUAUCAUCAUGUCAUCAAACAGAGAUCCUUAAUAUUAUCAAAGAAAAUUCUAACCAAGUUUCAUCUUCAAGCAAUUUCUUAUUUGGAACAUCCUCUUCUUGUUACCAGUAUGAAGGAGCUAUUCUCAGUGAUGGAAAAGGUCUCAACAAUUGGGAUGUUUUUACUCACCAAGCUGGUCAUAUUAAAGAUGGAAGCAAUGGAGAUGUUGC